rnacentral:rRNA from 1 species
CGGAGGCAGCAGUGGGGAAUUUCCGGCAAUGGGCGCAAGCCUGACCGAGCAACGCCGCGUGAGGGAUGAAGGUCUUCGGAUCGUAAACCUCUGUCUAGAGGGACGAUAAUGACGGUACCUCUGGAGGAAGCCACGGCUAACUACGUGCCAGCAGCCGCGGUAAUACGUAGGUGGCAAGCGUUGUCCGGAAUUACUGGGCGUAAAGGGCGUGUAGGCGGCUUUUUAAGUCAGGCGUGAAAUCUCUGGGCUUAACCCAGAAAUUGCGUUUGAAACUGGAAGGCUUGAGGAUCGGAGAGGGUAGUGGAAUUCCCAGUGUAGCGGUGAAAUGCGUAGAUAUUGGGAGGAACACCAGUGGCGAAGGCGACUGCCUGGACGACACCUGACGCUGAGGCGCGAAAGCCAGGGGAGCAAACGGGAUUAGAUACCCCGGUAGC